rnacentral:rRNA from 1 species
GUCUAUGGCCAUGUCAUCCUGAACGUGCCCGAUCUCGUCUGAUCUCGGAAGCUAAGCAGGGUCAGGCCUAGUUAGCACUUGGAUGGGAGACCACUUAGGAAUACCAGAUGCUGUAGGCA